rnacentral:rRNA from 1 species
UCCAGACUCCUACGGGAGGCAGCAGUGGGGAAUAUUGCACAAUGGGGGAAACCCUGAUGCAGCGACGCCGCGUGAGUGAAGAAGUAUUUCGGUAUGUAAAGCUCUAUCAGCAGGGAAGAAAAUGACGGUACCUGAUUAAGAAGCCCCGGCUAACUACGUGCCAGCAGCCGCGGUAAUACGUAGGGGGCAAGCGUUAUCCGGAUUUACUGGGUGUAAAGGGAGCGUAGACGGCAGCACAAGUCUGGAGUGAAAUGUCGGGGCUUAACCCCGGAACUGCUUUGGAAACUGUGCAGCUAGAGUGCAGGAGAGGUAAGUGGAAUUCCUAGUGUAGCGGUGAAAUGCGUAGAUAUUAGGAGGAACACCAGUGGCGAAGGCGGCUUACUGGACUGUAACUGACGUUGAGGCUCGAACGCGUGGGGAGCAAACAGGAUUAGAUACCCUGGUAC